AGCAACUAAUGUUGUACAUAACCUCAAUGUCCUCAAUACAAUUGCAAUAAAAAUAAAAACAAAACUUUUUUUUUUUAAUUAAAAAUGAGCCGCUGGAAAGAUUGGAUACGUAAUAUACAAAUUUCUCGCAGCCCCAAUCUUUCGAUAAUUUACGCUUUCGUGGGCUGGAACGUUUUGGCUCUUUUCUUUUAUACAAAUGUCAAAAAUGCUAGGAAAGAAUUAACCGAAGAGGAAAAAAAUGGACUAUCUGCAGCGCAAAUAUACGCACUAGAAAUGGGGAGGAAAGAUGCAAAAAUUGUAAGGCUUCAGGGGCUUUCUGUGGAAGAACUCAAAAACAUCCAGCGAGAGGAUGUAAAAUCAUAGAUUCUGUUCAAUUGAAAUAUACUUAAAGGGUAGACACAAAUUAUAUUUCUUAUAAAAGGAAACUUAAAAAACAUACUCAAUAUUAUAAUACAGUAUGUACAAUGAUAAGCAAAGCAAAUAAAACUUAAAAUAUCAAUAGGAA